rnacentral:rRNA from 1 species
CAGUCGCCACGGUAAUACGAAGGGGGCUAGCGUUGCUCGGAAUUACUGGGCGUAAAGGGAGCGUAGGCGGACAUUUAAGACAGGGGUGAAAUCCCGGGGCUCAACCUCGGAAUUGCCUUUGAUACUGGGUGUCUUGAGUAUGAGAGAGGUAUGUGGAACUCCGAGUGUAGAGGUGAAAUUCGUAGAUAUUCGGAAGAACACCAGUGGCGAAGGCGACAUACUGGCUCAUUACUGACGCUGAGGCUCGAAAGCGUGGGGAGCAAACAGGAUUAGAUACCCGCGUAGUCCCUGUCUCUUAUAC